rnacentral:rRNA from 1 species
CCUACGGGAGGCAGCAGUGAGGCAUAUUGGUCAAUGGUCGGGAGACUGAACCAGCCAAGCCGCGUGAGGGAGGAAGGUACAGAGUAUUGUAAACCUCUUUUGUCAGGGAACAAAGGCGGGGACGUGUCCCCGGAUGAGUGUACCUGAAGAAAAAGCAUCGGCUAACUCCGUGCCAGCAGCCGCGGUAAUACGGAGGAUGCGAGCGUUAUCCGGAUUUAUUGGGUUUAAAGGGUGCGGAGGCGGUCUUUUAAGUCAGCGGUGAAAGUCCGGGGCUUAACCCUCGCAACGCAGUUGAACUUGGAAGUCUAGAGUUGGAGAAGAGUAUGCGGAAUGCACGGUGUAGCGGUGAAAUGCAUAGAUAUCGCGAAGAACUCCGAUUGCGAAGGCAGCAUGCCGGCUCCAAACUGACGCUGAGGCACGAAAGCGUGGGUAUCGAACAGGAUUAGAUACCCCUGUAGUC